UGGGGAAUAUUGCACAAUGGGCGCAAGCCUGAUGCAGCCAUGCCGCGUGUGUGAAGAAGGCCUUAGGGUUGUAAAGCACUUUCAGCGAGGAGGAAGGCAUCAUACUUAAUACGUGUGGUGAUUGACGUUACUCGCAGAAGAAGCACCGGCUAACUCCGUGCCAGCAGCCGCGGUAAUACGGAGGGUGCAAGCGUUAAUCGGAAUUACUGGGCGUAAAGCGCACGCAGGCGGUUUGUUAAGUCAGAUGUGAAAUCCCCGCGCUUAACGUGGGAACUGCAUUUGAAACUGGCAAGCUAGAGUCUUGUAGAGGGGGGUAGAAUUCCAGGUGUAGCGGUGAAAUGCGUAGAGAUCUGGAGGAAUACCGGUGGCGAAGGCGGCCCCCUGGACAAAGACUGACGCUCAGGUGCGAAAGCGUGGGGAGCAAACAGGAUUAGAGUACCCUGGUAGUCCACGCUGUAAA
rnacentral:rRNA from 1 species